UGCGUAGGCGGUUUACUAAGUCAGAUGUGAAAUCCCCGGGCUCGACCUGGGAAUUGCAUUCGAUACUGGGUAGCUAGAAUUUGGUAGAGGUAAGUGGAAUUCCGGGUGUAGCGGUGAAAUGCGUAGAUAUCCGGAGGAACAUCAGUGGCGAAGGCGGCUUACUGGACCAAAAUUGACGCUGAGGCUCGAAAGCGUGGGGAGCAAACAGGAUUAGAUACCCUGGUAGUCC
rnacentral:rRNA from 1 species